AAAAGGUGGCUAUGCUACCGCUUUUGGAUGGGCCCGCGGCGCAUUAGCUAGUUGGUGGGGUAAAGGCUUACCAAGGCAAUGAUGCGUAGCCGAACUGAGAGGUUGAUCGGCCACAUUGGGACUGAGACACGGCCCAAACUCCUACGGGAGGCAGCAGUAGGGAAUCUUCCACAAUGGGCGAAAGCCUGAUGGAGCAACGCCGCGUGGGUGAAGAAGGUCUUCGGAUCGUAAAACCCUGUUGUUAGAGAAGAAAGUGCGUGAGAGUAACUGUUCACGUUUCGACGGUAUCUAACCAGAAAGCCACGGCUAACUACGUGCCAGCAGCCGCGGUAAUACGUAGGUGGCAAGCGUUAUCCGGAUUUAUUGGGCGUAAAGGGAACGCAGGCGGUCUUUUAAGUCUGAUGUGAAAGCCUUCGGCUUAACCGGAGUAGUGCAUUGGAAACUGGGAGACUUGAGUGCAGAAGAGGAGAGUGGGACUCCAUGUGUAGCGGUGAAAUGCGUAGAUAUAUGGAAGAACACCAGUGGCGAAAGCGGCUCUCUGGUCUGUAACUGACGCUGAGGUUCGAAAGCGUGGGUAGCAAACAGGAUUAGAUACCCUGGUAGUCCACGCCGUAAACGAUGAAUGCUAAGUGUUGGAGGGUUUCCGCCCUUCA
rnacentral:rRNA from 1 species